rnacentral:rRNA from 1 species
CGAUUACGGCUCAGUAACACGUAGCUAACCUACCCUUAGGACGUGGAUACCCCCGAGAAAUUGGGGUUAAUCCGCGAUAGAUGUAAUGUCCUGGAAUGGUAUUACGUCUAAAGGUAUUUCAUACAUGUUUGAAAUAUGCCUAAGGAUGGGGCUGCGGCCGAUCAGGCUGUUGGUGAGGUAAUGGCUCACCAAACCUUUGACCGGUACGGGCCAUGAGAGUGGUAGCCCGGAGAUGGACACUGAGACAAGGGUCCAAGCCCUAAGGGGCGCAGCAACCGCGAAACCUCCACAAUGCACUCACGUGCGAUGGGGCUAUCUCGAGUGCCACCUGAUGAAGGUGGCUUUUCCUAGGUCUAAAAAGCCUUGGGAAUAAGAGGGGGGCAAGACUGGUGUCAGCCGCCGCGGUAACACCAGCCCCUCGAGUGGUGGGGAUGAUUAUUGGGCCUAAAGCGUCCGUAGCCUGCCGUGUAAGUCUUCCGUUAAAUCCAGCGUCUUAAGCGUUGGACCGCGGGAGAUACUGUACGGAUAGAGAGUGGGAGAGGUCAGCGGUAUUCUGGGGGUAGGGGCGAAAUCCUUUGAUCCCCGGAGGAACACCAGUGGCGAAGGCUG